rnacentral:rRNA from 1 species
UACGUAGGGGGCAAGCGUUGUCCGGAAUUACUGGGCGUAAAGAGCGUGUAGGCGGGUAUUUAAGUCAGUUGUGAAAACUCUGGGCUCAACCGAGAGGCUGCAAUUGAAACUGGAUACCUUGAGGGCAGGAGAGGAAAGUGGAAUUCCUAGUGUAGCGGUGAAAUGCGUAGAUAUUAGGAGGAACACCAGUGGCGAAGGCGACUUUCUGGACUGUACCUGACGCUGAGACGCGAAAGCGUGGGGAG